GCAGACCGGUAACCGAGACCAUCGCCAAGGCUCUUCAAAAGACAUCUGAAUUUUCAACUUCUUCCAACCGAAAUCGUAGAAAGGACCAAAACUCCAAAAAUUGUAUACGUUAGCAGGAACCCUAAAGAUACGGCAGUUUCCUUCUAUCACUUCUACAAGGGAUUUGACUUAUCGCCAUUCGGAAUUCACAACGACUUCGCUAACAGCACCUUUCCUGAGUUUUACAAGUACUAUAUGCAAGGAAAAUGUAAUUACGGUGAAUAUUGGCAGCAUCAAGUAGAUUUCUGGGAACGCAGGCACUGG